rnacentral:pre_miRNA from 1 species
UAAAUACUUUCUCCGUCCGAAAAUACUUGUCUUAAAAAUGGAUAUAAUAGAUGUAUCUAUAACUAAAAUAAGUUUAGAUACAUUCAUCUUUAGGACAAGUAUUUCCGGACGGAGGGAGUAUAAG